UGGGAAGACAGCUUUAAGCACAUUGGAGUAAAUGUAAGCUAAGAGUAUGGAAUUGGGAGUGGCUGGGGAACUGGAUAAGAAAAGCUUUGCUUUGCAAGAAGGUAACUCUAUUAAAGUCAGUAUAAGGCUUUGUUAUUUAGACUAGAGAUUUCCAGCAAUGCCUAGUGAUUCUGAGUGUUCAACUAAGACACAUACCCAUCCUUCCACUUUCUGAAAAAAUCAAGGUCUAUUAAGGUGAACAACUGACUUUCCCCUUCCAGAGAAACCAUGCAUUGUCAUAGGCGACUUCAGCAGUCACAAUACCUUCUGGGGAUACCCCAACAACAACAAUGAUGAAGUUCAGAACGGGUGACAAGAAACAACUUGAUCUUGCUCUAUGACUUUGAGGACAAAUGUACCUUCCAAGAUGCACAAUGGAACAAGGAGUACAAUCUUAACCUAAUUUUUGUCAGCAGUGAAAAUGCAGGCAACUUCAGAAGGGAGAUCAUGUCAAUGAUUCCAAGAUCACAGCAUAGACCAAUGCAAGUGACAAUAGAGGCUACACUACAACCCAGAAAAACAAAGUAUCUGCUGAGGUUCAGCUUCAAAAAGGUUGAAUGGGAAGUCUAUCUCUGAAUUGGAUGAAUCCAUUUGCAAUAUUACUCUGACACAUAACCGUUAUGGAGAAUUUGUCUCAUUGGUGUGGAAUACUGCCCAAAAGUACAACACUAGGGAAUGUUGGUUUAAAUGGGCUUUCAGAAGAGAGACACCAACAAUAUAAAGCAAUGUUCAGAAUUGUUUGACUUAAAUCCCCAUGGAAGAUUUCCCCAAAGGAACCACUGGACUUGGUGAAAGGCUUAUGUGAGAGAUCAAAGUGGUGCAACGGCUGGAGGGAGUGGAUUGAAACAACAAACCUGUGCCAUAAUAGCAAAAAAAAAAAAAGCAUGGGCCACUAUUCACAAGCUGAACCCUGAUGGACAACAACCACAGUCUCUCACAACCAAGCCCUCAGUGGUAAAUCUCCUCCUCAAUGGUAAACCAGCCCAUAAAGCAAAGCACAGAGCAAAACAAGUAUAGUACAGACUUUGCUCACUCCUCGGAGUGGAGCAAAGUCCACAAUGAUCAGCUCAACAUUUUGGAGCUGGCAAUAGCGAUGAAAACCCUGAAAUGUGGAAAGGCAACUGGAGUUGAUGAUUUAUCUAAUGAACUAUUAUUAUACUUUGGUACAGGAGAACAGAACUGGUGGCUUGACUUCUUUAUCUCUUGCAUGAAGACAAUGCAGAUAACCAGGCUGUAGAGAUAGGAAAGAGUGACUGCACUAGCCAAACCACAUAAAGAUGCUAACUCUGUGGA